AGAGGGGAGGAGGGAGGUGGAGAUGUUGGCGUCUUCCCGUUAGGACACUCAAGACGAAGGUAGAGGAGGGGUUAAGUGAGGAGGGGCACGCCGUGGGUGAGUAGAGCGCGCUGGGUGGUGGAUUAGUGCUUUUGGGAGGGGCCGAAAGGUCGAAGUUCAAGCACAAUCAAUAGGAGGUAGAGAGGGCAGAGCUAGCUUCCCACGACCGAAAAGAGUUGGUGUCGAGAGGAGAAAGCUAGUCAGGCCAAAGCUGGGUUAUGAAGAUGAAGAGGGAGAAAGGGAGGGAUAGAGGGAGAAGGGAAAGGAGAGGGAGAGUCAAUGAUCCAGAACCCUCAGAGUCAGACGUGAAGGGUUGGGAACAUCACCGGAAAAAAAUGACAUUCCCAAAGAACAGUCCUAGGCAAGGUCAUCCCAAAUACACCAGAAAAAAAUGACAUUCCCAAAGAACAGUCCUAGGCAAGGUCAUCCCAAAUACACCAG